GACGAACGCUGGCGGCGUGCUUAACACAUGCAAGUCGAACGGUGAACCUUCUUCGGGAGGGGAUCAGUGGCGAACGGGUGAGUAACACGUGGGCAACCUGCCCCAGACUUCGGGAUAACUCCGGGAAACCGGGGCUAAUACCGGAUAUGACUUCUGUCCGCAUGGUCGGGAGUGGAAAGUUUUUCGGUCUGGGAUGGGCCCGCGGCCUAUCAGCUUGUUGGUGGGGUGAUGGCCUACCAAGGCGACGACGGGUAGCCGGCCUGAGAGGGCGACCGGCCACACUGGGACUGAGACACGGCCCAGACUCCUACGGGAGGCAGCAGUGGGGAAUAUUGCGCAAUGGGCGAAAGCCUGACGCAGCGACGCCGCGUGGGGGAUGAAGGCCUUCGGGUUGUAAACCUCUUUCAGCAGGGACGAAGCUUUCGGGUGACUGUACCUGCAGAAGAAGCACCGGCUAACUACGUGCCAGCAGCCGCGGUAAUACGUAGGGUGCAAGCGUUGUCCGGAAUUAUUGGGCGUAAAGAGCUCGUAGGCGGUUUGUCACGUCGGAUGUGAAAACCCGGGGCUUAACCUCGGGCCUGCAUUCGAUACGGGCUGACUAGAGUUCGGUAGGGGAGACUGGAAUUCCUGGUGUAGCGGUGAAAUGCGCAGAUAUCAGGAGGAACACCGGUGGCGAAGGCGGGUCUCUGGGCCGAUACUGACGCUGAGGAGCGAAAGCGUGGGGAGCGAACAGGAUUAGAUACCCUGGUAGUCCACGCCGUAAACGUUGGGCGCUAGGUGUG
rnacentral:rRNA from 1 species